UUCCUUAUGGCAUUCGUGGAGCAUGCCUGUUUGAGUGUCAUGAAUACUUCAACCCUCCUCUUGCUUAAUGAAAGAAGAGGUGUUUGGUUUCUGAGCGCUGCUGGCCUUUGCGGUCUAGCUCGUUCGUAAUGCAUUAGCAUCCGCAAUCCAACUUCGGAUUGACUUGGCGUAAUAGACUAUUCCCUGAGGAAUUCUAGUCUUCGGACUAGAGCCGGGUUGGGUUAAAGGAAGCUUCUAAUCAGAAUGUCUACAUUUUAAGAUUAGAUCUCAAAUCAGGUAGGACUACCCGCUGAACUUAAGCAUAUCAAUAAGCGGAGGAAG
rnacentral:rRNA from 1 species